CUAUUUCCUAUGGUAACACUCCAAUGUUCUUCUCCUUUUUAUUUUAUUACAUUUUGGAUCUGUUCAUGUUUAUGUGUUGAUGGAGUUUGUUCAUACUUAUCUGUUUAUAUUGCUAUAUUUGAUGAAUAAAUCUGGUCGGCAAGUUCAACUCCAAUGAUUUUACUGUGAUGUUAGUUUGCUGUUUGUCUGCCUCUCCAUUAUUUUUUCCUUUAUGUUCUAUUGUUUUCUACUUGAAAUUUUUCUAGGUUAGUGAUUUUCUUGGGUUGAUUAUUUACUGUUCAUUGUUGUGUUAAUCUUGUUUUGUUGUUUACUACUGUUUAUGGAUAGAUUUAUAUUGUUUGGAAUUUUUGUUAGUAAGUUAUGUUAAUUUGCUAGUGAUUGCUUGAUUUUUGUUUGCAAUUUUAUUUCCUUUUGAUUUCAGGCAUUUUUCUUUAAAGAAUUUUCCCAGUAAGCUAUGCUAUUGCACUUUGGUUCCAAUUUUUCGUAUUCUUUAUCAAUUUUAUAGUUACUUUAAUAUUUAGUGAUUGUGUUUAUAUUAUUUUCCAGUGAUAUGGGUAGUCUCUCUUUAAUAAAUUACUUAUUGUUGUUUUCAUUUUCUUAACCAUUCUAUUUUGGUUUGUUUAUCUAGUUUAUAUUGAUGUUUCUAAUUUUGCUUACAUGAGAUUAUUCUAGAUUUAUUCAUUUUCUAAGAAAUUACAGGUGUGUGUUGGUUUAUUAUUUAAUUACUAUUAUUUUAUUAUUCUGUCAUUAUUAGGUUGUUGCAUCUUAUAUUAGUUUAUAUUCCAUUGUUCUUUUGUCUGUUUCAUGUCAUUUUAUGGUUGAAAAAUAUUAAAAUUGGUCAAUGAAAAAAUCUCUCAGUCGGUUUUCGAGGUCUCCUCAUUUUAAAAGAUGAAAAUUUAGCUUAAGUUCAUAUAUUUUUAUUUGUUAAAAUUGACCGAUGAAGAAAUUACCGUCGAUUUUCAAGGCCUCCCAUGUUCAUAAGAUGGAUUUUUAUUUUUCAGUUAUUAUUUAGUUUAUUUAUUUUUAUUCAUGUUUAUUUAGUACUAAUACUUUUACUAAGUGUCUUUACAGGCACCCUGGAGUUUCUUUCCAUUGAAGCUAAACAAAGGGAGUUCAUAAUUAUAUUUUUAUUUCAUUAUUGUGUAUAUUAUCGAUAUUAGGCAAACCUUAGGCCGUUUCUUAUAUUAUUAUUUUAUUUUGUUACUUUUGUAUAUCACAUGUUUGUUAUACUUGUAUACUAUUUUAUCUCUUCCUCAAUUUAAAAAAAUGAAUUCAGUCGGGAACCACAUUUGUGGAUUUCGAAGGAUGCUUAACACCUUUCCUUUGGAAUCACUUG
rnacentral:lncRNA from 1 species